GCCCAGGUGGUGAAAUUGGUAGACACGCAUGAUUCAGGUUCAUGUGCUUAACGGCGUGGGGGUUCGAGUCCCCCCUUGGGCACCA
rnacentral:tRNA from 1 species